rnacentral:rRNA from 1 species
AUUGAACGCUGGCGGAAUGCUUUACACAUGCAAGUCGAACGGUAGAGGGGGCAACCCCUUGAGAGUGGCGAACGGGUGAGUAAUAUAUCGGAACGUGCCCAGUCGUGGGGAUAACGUAGCGAAAGUUACGCUAAUACCGCAUACGAUCUAAGGAUGAAAGCGGGGGAUCGCAAGACCUCGCGCGAUUGGAGCGGCCGAUAUCAGAUUAGGUAGUUGGUGAGGUAAAGGCUCACCAAGCCAACGAUCUGUAGCUGGUCUGAGAGGACUACCAGCCACACUGGAACUGAGACACGGUCCAGACUCCUACGGGAGGCAGCAGUGGGGAAUUUUGGACAAUGGACGCAAGUCUGAUCCAGCCAUUCCGCGUGCAGGAUGAAGGCCCUCGGGUUGUAAACUGCUUUUGUACGGAACGAAAGGUUUCUAUUAAUACUAGGAGCUCAUGACGGUACCGUAAGAAUAAGCACCGGCUAACUACGUAGCCAGCAGCCGCGGUAAAGUGACU